rnacentral:rRNA from 1 species
AUUGAACGCUGGCGGCAUGCUUUACACAUGCAAGUCGAACGGUAACAGGCCUUCGGGUGCUGACGAGUGGCGAACGGGUGAGUAAUGCAUCGGAACGUGCCCAAUCGUGGGGGAUAACGUAGCGAAAGUUACGCUAAUACCGCAUAAGCCCUGAGGGGGAAAGCAGGGGAUCGCAAGACCUUGCGCGAAUGGAGCGGCCGAUGUCAGAUUAGCUAGUUGGUGGGGUAAAGGCCUACCAAGGCAACGAUCUGUAGCGGGUCUGAGAGGAUGAUCCGCCACACUGGGACUGAGACACGGCCCAGACUCCUACGGGAGGCAGCAGUGGGGAAUUUUGGACAAUGGGCGCAAGCCUGAUCCAGCCAUGCCGCGUGCGGGACGAAGGCCUUC